CUUUCUUUCUCUUUUUCUUUUUUUCUUUUUUCUUUUUUCCAAUGCUUUUUUUUAUUAACAGUUAAGAUCCAGGGUUAGUUUUUGUAGCCUCUGCUGGCCCUUCGGCCUCUGGCGCGCUCAAACUUCCGGCCCUUGGAACGGACAUAGGGUUUGGUAUGGCUGUGUGGGGUUCCUGGGGCCUUGCCAAAAUGUCGGUAUACCUCUCGGCCCUUCCGAGGACCAGACAGGAGCACAGUGCCCCGGCCCUUGGGAGACUCCAGGGCCAGCUGGUCAAAGGUGAGGAUCUUACCCCCAGCCUUGAGGAUGCGACUCCGGGCCCGGCUGCUCACCCGCAGUGCACACACCUUCAGCUUGGGAACUUCCAGAAUCCGCACAUCAUCUGUGACCGUCCCCACAACCACAGCAGUCUUGUUCUCGCGGCCAGGAAGCUUCAUCUUUCGGAUCAUGCGGGACAGGGACAGAGGUGGAGUUGGUCCGUCUGGCCAGAAACCUGUACAGCUUGACAAGCAGCCGCAGGUACAUGUCCUGGCUCUUGGGCUCCUUGCGCCGAACCUUUCGGUCCUUGUUGUGGCGAAUGUCAACACCCAUGAUGGCGCCUCCUGCUCGGC
rnacentral:lncRNA from 1 species